CGUCCUGUUCCCUGACUCAGCCCCUUCUUCCUCGACCCAAACACACACACACUCUCUCUCUCUACACUCUACUACUAUCUCCUUCAAGCUCCCUCUCUCUCUCCGAUGCCCUUUUUCGUCUUUUCAGCACUCAAUCCAACGGCGAUGCCACCAUCCACGUCCUCAUCUUCUUCUUCUUCUUCUCCUUUUCUCCCUUUUUUUCUUGUAUAGUAUAAUCCACUGUGCUCUUCCAAACACCCGCAUAGCACAAUAUAACCGCCUCUUCUCUUAGGGUUUUCUGUCUCUUUCCCUCACAUUACCUUCAAAGAAUUCUGGGUCGCCUUUCUGUUUCUUGCUUCUCUGUUCAUCUGUUUACAAGGGUUUUGAAUUUGGAUUGGAAGGUUAGUGUGCUGGUGUGGUCUGUUUAUUGUUUGGGGGUUGUUUAUAUGUUGAAUGGUGAUCGAAAAGGGAAGCUUUAAGGCAUCACGAUUUGAUUCAGAGUUUUCUCCUCGUAGUAGGGACAGUAUGUCGACUGAGGAUGAGGAAUUUCAGAGACGAAACGGUGGAGGUGAGGUUGAAUCUAAUGGCGAGGAUGAUGAUGAUGAUUUUGAUGAUUGUGAUUCAGGGGCAGGAUCGGACGACUUUGAUUUGUUGGAAUUAGGGGAGUCUAAGGAGGAGUUUUGUCAAAUUGGGGAUCAAACAUGUAGCAUUCCGUUCGAAUUGUAUGAUCUUUCGGGGUUGGGGGAUGUGUUGUCAUUGGAUGUUUGGAAUGAGGUGUUGUCUGAGGAAGAAAGGUUUAGUCUUGCUCAGUACCUUCCUGACAUGGACCAGGAAACGUUUAUGCGAACUUUGAAAGAUCUCCUCACAGGUAAUAAUAUGCAUUUUGGAAGUCCCCUGGAUAAGCUGUUUAACAUGUUAAAGGGUGGGUUAUGUGAGCCAAGAGUGGCACUUUACCGUCAAGGAUUGAUUUUCUUUCAGAAGCGGAAGCAUUAUCACCAUCUCAGAAACCAUCAGAAUGCAAUUGUCAGUAAUCUUUGUCAGAUAAGAGAUGCUUGGCUCAGUUGCCCUGGUUAUAGCAUUGAGGAGAAGCUUCAAGUGCUGAACAUUAAGAAGAAUGAGAAGAUUUUAAUGUACGAGAAAUUGGAAGAAUUGGGAAGUGAUGGAUCCGAGAGAGAGGAGUUCAGUGAUACUUUGUGGGGCAAAAGAACAAAUGAUCGUAAUCUUGGUCAGAAUAUGGGCUGUUAUUCUGGAUAUGGAGUAGGGUCAGCCUUGGAUUCAUCAUCUAGACAAAUGGGCCAAAUGGCUUCGGAAGCUGCCAGAUACAAAAAGCAGAACCUAAAAGGGAAUUUGAAGGUAGGUGGAACAAAGAGUUCUACAUUGCCUCCUUUUCGUCGCGGUAAAGGAAUGGACUAUAAUUCUGGGAUGGCUGUCCCAAUGAGGGAUAUGUUGAAUGGCAAUUAUGAGGAUGAUGGGAUGUAUGAAGUGGAUGUGCAGAGAGAGAGAAUCUUUUCACGGGCAGGGGCUGUUGAUAGAAGUGGGACUGUAAAAUUGGGGAAAAAGCAUGAAAGGUCGAGAGUGGAAGAAUACUCUGAUGUUUUCAUGGGUGUGCCUGUCCCGUCGAAGAAUGAUCUUUAUGCCUAUGGAAGGAACAAUACUGUCAAUCAGCUGUCAGAUAUUAAGGUCUUGACUGCAAAGCCAAGCAAUGCCAGAGCUGCGUAUGAAUUUGGAAAAAAAGACAGGUAUGCGGAUGGUCUCCCACAGUUUUUCUCUGAAGAUCAGAUGAAUUAUGGUAAAAUCCGGAUUCCUAAAAUGUCACUGAAGGGAAAUGGAAUGGAACUAGCGAGCGGAAGUGAACCAUUUUGGCCAAGUAAAGCACAAGAGGAUAAUUAUUUUACCAACCCAUCACACAAGCUUGGUAACGUGAGCAAAAAGUGGAAGGUGGACCAAGAAUAUCCUGAUCGCAAGUUAAAUGAUAAGUUGUUUCAGUCAGACUAUAGGGGAAAAGCCUUCCCUGAGAAAGUCAAGGCGAAAAUGCAGAAUGGAGGACAAGAUGGGUCAGGAACUAGAGGUAGAAGGGUAUUUGCAAAGACUGAAGAAACUGAAUCUGAAUCAUCAGAAAGAAGUGACGAGGAUAACAAUCCAUUGAUGAGGAGCAAGUGGGCAUAUCCCAGUGGUUCCACAAAUUUGAUGCCUGCAUUGGAUACUAAAAGCGCUAAAUUUGGUCAAAAGGGUAAGUACAGUAUACCGGUUGGUGAUGGUUCAUUACAUUCUUCUAGGAUGAUGAGCGACUCCACUGAACUUUUCCGCCCAAAGAAAACUGGAAGUCGUGGCUUGGGAGCAGAACCAAUGGGUAAGAUGCAUGAUCUUGGUCAUCUGAGUAGUUUCUCCACUAGAAAUCAUUUCUCCGGUUUGAGUCAGUUCGACAAUGACAAUGAUGAUGAAGAGGAGCAACCAAUCUACAAGCUAGCCAAGAAUGGUCCUUUGCAAGGGGACCAAACUGAAAAGUACCACAUGGCAUCCAGCAGAGAGAAGAAACAAAAAGGAAAAGUUAGCCGUGAUAUCUUGCCUGCAAAUUAUAUGCAAGAUCACAAGUUUCAGGAGGAUGACUCAUUGCGGACACGGUUGCCGGCCAAAAGGAAUGGAGUUUCUUCCAAGUUUUCAAAGAAAGGUCAGAUGCUUGACACAAGUGCUCUCGAUCACCAUGAAAAAUCUGAUAUGCAUUUAACAGGUUGCAACUCAGUCAUGAAGAAGCGGAAAGUCAAAGUUGAUGUCCCAUACGAGCUAGAUGAUACUGACCCUCUCUAUUCUGAUACCCAGCAGCGACAAGAUGACCUCUCAGUGAAGCGGGGUAAAAAGAAGCUGGAGGAUGAAACAUGGCCUCCUUUAGUGGGAGUUCCCAGAUCCCCAACUUCAGAAAUGGUAGUAGAAGAUGUAGAUGUGGAAAGUCGACCUCAAAAAAAGCCAUUCACUUUGAUUACUCCUACAGUUCAUACUGGCUUUUCAUUCUCCAUCAUUCAUCUUCUUUCAGCAGCUCGUAUGGCAAUGAUUACUUUGCUUCCAGAAGAGGCUGUAGAUACAAUUGCUGGAAGACAGGAAGCUCUGGAGGAGCAUGGGGGAGUUGCACCACCCUCAGAGUUGGAUGGUGAUAAUUCAAUUCCUUCCACUCAAGCAAAGGUGCCCUCUCUGAGUGUUCAAGAAAUUGUUAACCGUGUGAGAUCAAACCCGGGAGAUCCCUGUAUUCUUGAGACUCAAGAACCUCUCCAUGAUUUGGUCAGAGGAGUACUCAAAAUAUUUUCUUCCAAAACAGCACCGCUUGGUGCAAAAGGGUGGAAGUCUCUUGUGGUCUAUGACAAACCAACCAAAAGUUGGUCCUGGAUUGGUCCAGUGAGCCCUGAUUCAUCUGAUCAUGAGCCUAUGGAGGAAGUCACAUCUCCAGAAGUGUGGGGUCUUCCUCACAAAAUGCUUGUCAAGUUGGUUGAUUCUUUUGCCAAUUGGCUGAAAAAUGGUCAAGAGACGCUACGGCAGAUAGGAAGUCUCCCUGACCCUCCGUUGUCAUUGAUGCAAUAUAAUCUAGAUGAGAAGGAAAGGUUCAGAGAUUUGCGAGCUCAGAAGAGUCUGAGUACCAUUGGCCCAAGCUCCGAAGAAGUCAGAGAGUAUUUCCGUAAAGAGGAAUUCCUUAGGUACUCAAUACCUGACAGGGCCUUCUCCUACACUGCUAUUGAUGGGAAAAAAUCAAUAGUUGCUCCUCUGAGAAGGUGUGGUGGCAAGCCAACGUCAAAAGCUCGUGAUCACUUCAUGCUUAAAAAGGAUCGCCCUGCCCAUGUAACGAUUCUCUGUCUUGUGCGAGAUGCAGCUGCUAGGUUGCCUGGUAGCACAGGAACUAGAGCAGAUGUUUGUACUUUAAUCAGAGACUCACAGUAUAUUGUGGAGGAGGUCUCUGAUGCUCAAGUCAAUCAAGUUGUUAGUGGUGCGUUGGAUCGUUUGCAUUAUGAACGUGAUCCUUGUGUACAGUUUGAUAAUGAGAAGAAGCUCUGGGUUUACUUGCACAGAGAUAGAGAAGAAGAAGAUUUUGAGGAUGAUGGUACUUCAUCUACAAAGAAAUGGAAGAGGCAAAAGAAAGAAGUUGCUGAACCAUCUGAUCAAGGAGUUGUAACUGUAGCUUAUAAUGGGACAGGGGAACAAAAUGGUUUUGAUUUGAGCUCAGAUCCCAAUGUUGAGCCCUCAAAUGUGGAUGAGGAUCGAACAGACCCUACUUAUGAGGAUGGUAAGGAUCAUGUAGAGGGCAAUAUUAAGAGCAGUCAUAUGUCAGAACAAGGUGCUAUGCAUUGUGGUUCUUCUCUGAUGGAUUGGGAUACUCUUUGCUCAACUCCUGGAGAUGGAAAUAAGUUGUUAUGUCAGCAAAACUCAACUGAUAAUCUUGUUGGUGAAACAUGUGGUGGAGAACCACCAGCUUGAUUGUGGAAAGAGCUCUGUCAGAAGCUUCCAGAAAAGCCUUAUAUAUUACCUACCUCAAGCGUCGGGAACUUUCGGCUGUCAGAUGGCUCUAACAAAAAAUACUGUCCAAUUGCGCUCCGUGAAAUUCAGUCAUCAAUGGUUCAGUUAUUUUUUUUUGGCCAUGCUGGUCGCUAAGAUGGUAUAUUUUGGCCAUGACAGUUCAAAUGUAGAUUCUUUCUUAGUUAAAACAAGGAAAAAAGGGGAGCCUCAAUAUGUAGACUGCAGUGUAUACAGUAUAUUUACAUGGCAUAUUCAUACAAUACGAGAAUGCUGAAGCCUAAUCACUGUUCUGAAUUGAGAAGCAGCAGAGUCCAUGUGUCAUUAUACCCUCUCGUAUGUAACAUUAAUCUAGUUAUUAGAUGAGAUAAAUGAAAAAUAAGUUGGUCUUGUGAUCAAGCUUCCCCCUUGUUCCUUUAACUACAUUCAUACUUGAUUGUUCACCUUACAUUUAUUUACUCUGGCUAAAUUUAUGACAUCAACCCCAUUGUUUCUUGGGGGUGUCUGGGUUUUGGCCCCAA